AGUAAAAGUCGUAACAAGGUCUCCGUUGGUGAACCAGCGGAGGGAUCAUUACAGAGUUGCAAAACUCCCACAAACCAUCGCGAAUCUUACCCGUACGGUUGCCUCGGCGCUGGCGGUCCGGAAAGGCCCUCGGGCCCUCCCGGAUCCUCGGGUCUCCCGCUCGCGGGAGGCUGCCCGCCGGAGUGCCGAAACUAAACUCUUGAUAUUUUAUGUCUCUCUGAGUAAACUUUUAAAUAAGUCAAAACUUUCAACAACGGAUCUCUUGGUUCUGGCAUCGAUGAAGAACGCAGCGAAAUGCGAUAAGUAAUGUGAAUUGCAGAAUUCAGUGAAUCAUCGAAUCUUUGAACGCACAUUGCGCUCGCCAGUAUUCUGGCGAGCAUGCCUGUUCGAGCGUCAUUUCAACCAUCAAGCUCUGCUUGCGUUGGGGAUCCGCGGCUGUCCGCGGUCCCUCAAAAUCAGUGGCGGGCUCGCUAGUCACACCGAGCGUAGUAACUCUACAUCGCUAUGGUCGUGCGGCGGGUUCUUGCCGUAAAACCCCCCAUUUCUAAGGUUGACCUCGGAUCAGGUAGGAAUACCCGCUGAACUUAAGCAUAUCAAUAAGCGGAGGA
rnacentral:rRNA from 1 species